rnacentral:lncRNA from 1 species
UAAUUAAGAACAUCAUCACAAAAAUCUGUUUCACCACAUACCCAUUUGAUCUUCUAAUUUAUGUAAGGAAAAGGCCCACAGUGAAUAGUUAGGUACUCUCUUGUCGUUGGUGAAAAUACCUUAUCAAAGCUAAAGGUACAAUAACAAGGCUUGAAAGUGAGAUCGAUAUGGGAAGGACAAAAUAAAUAGCCCGCUGAAGAUUGAAGCAUGUACACAUAAAUGGUACACAAUCCAACUUCGACACAUUAAUCAGAAGGCACACUGUAAAAUACAACCAGCACAAGGCCUUUUCAUUUCAAAAAAAUUACACAUGUGGAGGUUAUGAUCUUAGCAUGUAGAAGUUCCAAUAACUUAAGCAGAGGCAUGACCAUGUGUUUUGAGAUCAACUGCAUGUAGAAAUACUUACAUCAACUUAAGAACAUGGCCAUUGCCAUAUGUGCAUAGACAUGUAAAAAGGUCUUGAGAUACAGAAGCAUACAUGAUCGAGUAGAAAAUAUGUGUUGACGAUAUUAAGAGAUCGCGCCAUGUUAGAUGCCUUGAUGAGGAUCAAUGACCUCGAGGCUUUAAAACCUACAAGAAAAUAUCAUCUGUAGCAAUCAUUCACAGAAUUAUGCAGCUGUCCCAGGUAAAGAGUAGAUAAAUUUGCAUCAUAAUGGAGAGAAAAUUCUCACAUGAAGGAAUACACCAGUUUAUAUGUUGAGAAGGAAACAACAGGAUUGAUCUCUCAAAGUGGACACUAAGGCGGGCUAUAAUCUCGUAUCCUCCCUUCCAGACCUAUGCUUGGAAAACAACAUCACCUCAUUCCUAAUCAAAUAACCACCAAGGUAGACUAUAAGCUCAUAUCUCCUACCUUCCAGACCUAACUGGUUGCGCGCAGGAUGGGAAUGAGAGGUGAUUUCUGCUCGUCGGGUGUAAAUGUGAUGCACAUGGAAGGAGAGGGGAAAAUGACUGACAGAUUGGCGAAACUAAAAUCGUCGCCAUGGUGAUUUUGUGACUGAUUGGCAGGGACACGACGAGCGUGGAGUGGAGAUCGAAGAGUGCGCGGUCGAUGGUUGGGCAGAGCGGGGCCGACAUUGUAGAGUCUCCUUGGCUCGUGCACGACUUGCGCACAAUCGCUGGUGCCACCUCCGCCUCCGUCAAUAACUCCAAACCCUAGGAUGAUUCCUCGGGCGCCUCGGCUGGAACCACCGAGAAGGCCGCACGCCGCUGGAUCGCCUCCCAGGCCUCAGCUCGAUAACUUCCCAUGCCUCGGCUCGAUCUGGUGAGAAGACCAGCGGACGCUGGAUCUCAUCGUGAAACGCCGGCGUGGCCGACAUCCCUAUAUCAAAAGACCCCACCCUACCGAUCCUUUGAGCAAACAGUUUUUUCUUACGGAAAAAAGCGCAGCGUCGGAUAGUUUUCUACCUAAAUUGGCUGCCCGUAGAAGCCCAAUUAACCACAAGCCUUCAAAAAAGUUUCCAGAACAGCGGCCUAUUAGGACAGCCCGCCCAGAUCGCGUCGAAAAAAACUUAGAGGAAGAUCUGACGACCAGAAACUAAUCUAGCGCAAAUCCGACGGCCGAAAACGUUGAGGGCCUGAGAGAGCUCGCUUUAGGCUCAGUUUUACUGUCCUAAAUGUGCGCAAGAACUCGUUUCCUGACUAUUGCCAUCCCUCUCAGGUCAACGUAUUUGAGCCGGCCCUUACAGGUGGGACCAGGUGGCAGGCAGAGACGCGCUAUACGAUCAUACUGUUGCUGGCCGUCGGUUGUGGGACCCAGUGGAGAGUCGUUGCUCUCGUGGCUUGUGGGGCCCAGCAAAGAGCCGUUGCUCUCGUGGCUUGUGGGACCCAGCAGUGAACCAUUGCUGGCCGUAGGUGUGCGAUAAAAGUGGCGGCGGAAUGCGCCCCUGGAGCUCGCGGCGAUGAGCAACAAUCAACCGAGCUGGGGACGAAGUUGGAGGCGGACACACGCUGAGGUGGCCGACGACCCCUGUUGGUUGCUAGGAGCCGGGAGCGGGCGACCGAGAGGGCGGCGUCGAGAUCCCCUUCAUCUCCGGGCAGUGGGAAGAUUGUUGUGGAGGGCGCGGUCAUCUGCUACAGCUACAGGGUCGUGCGCGGAGGCGUUGAGAUCCCCUUCGGCUCCGGGCGGUCAUGAACCGAGCUUAAUGUCUUCUUCUAUUUUCCCGCGCCACCUUGCGGAUCGUGAUUCCGGCGCGCAUGGAGAUGCCAAUCUUCCUCUAUCCGCGGUGUCAGGCGGACGUUGAUUGGAGGGUUUCACGCACACCGAAGAACUAUAAUCAUUCGUUCUACGUGUGCAGCAAGAAGGGAGAAAGAGUCGGGGCAAUUUCACUAUUUUCGUGGUCGGGAUCCUUGAGCAAUACGAUUCAUCUGUUUGGCGUUCAUGCAGGUGAAAUGUUUCUUCCUUUCGGUCGAUGUUCUGGCCAAGACGCUGAUGAAUGAACUGCUAGAAGAGCACGAAGAAUGGUUGCCCAUCCCGCCACGAACAUCAGCGGCCGCAGCGUGAGCUCCAGAAGAAGAGACGAAGGGCGAAGCACGCAAUGACAGAGAGGUACGUGUUGAGCUUAGGAGGUUGAACCAAAAGAUUAGGAAGCUCGAAGAUCAAGAACAAAUACCCAUUUGCAAUUACAUUUGAGCAUUUGUAGAUAUGGUAAUCGCACUGAUGUAAUGUUGAAAUUAUAUGGAAAGACAUGCAUCUGGGAGGAAUUUGUGAGCUUGAAAUUGUAUGAAAAAGGGAGAAGAAAUGGAAAAUUCAGAAACUUUGGUUAAUGAAAUGCAUCUCUCUACUUGGCCUUUCCGUGAAAAAAAGGUUUCACUGCAGGGUAAUGAAAUUUACAGUCGAGAGCCUAGUAUCGGCUAGACUAAUGAACCAAAUCCAUGUAAUUAGGCCCAUUUGGGAUUGGUAAAUGAGAAGAUCUCUCUGAAAAAAAAAAAAUGAGACAGACGAAAAAUGAACAAAAAAGGUGUGGCUGGGGUAAUUUUACCUUUUCCGAACGACGCGAUCGGACGACUAAACCUAACUCGUGAAACACCUGGCAGCCGCAGCGGAUCUCCCGGUCGCUUCAAGGCAGAGCGAUCCGAUCCCCAACGCGGUUAAUCCGAUCGCCGUCGCCGUCAGCAAAAAGGCCGGCCGGCGGGUUCACGGCCCCUGCGCCUGGCACUAACACCGAGCGUUUGACCACCUCACCACCUUACGGGCGAGGCUGGGCGCGUUCACCAUCCACAUCCGUAGUUCCAUAUCCGAUCCAUUGCCACCACGAGUUGCGCUGCGUCGUCUCGUCUCGGUACGGCGGUACGACGACCGGACCGGUCUGGUCGCCUCCCCCCGCUGGCCGUCAACACGGAGCGGGGCUGCGUGCCUAACACCCACGCGCGCCGCGGCGUCCAACGGAGCGCGCCACCGUGGCCACCACGCGCUCCCGACUCGAUUUUCGGCGAAACAAAAGCGCGCGAGUGCGUGGUCUGUGCGCGGGCGAGUGAGUGGGCUCUGGUGUCACG